rnacentral:rRNA from 1 species
UACGUAGGGUGCAAGCGUUAAGCGGAAUUACUGGGCGUAAAGCGUGCGCAGGCGGUUUUGUAAGUCUGUCGUGAAAGCCCCGGGCUCAACCUGGGAAUUGCGAUGGAGACUGCAAGGCUUGAAUCUGGCAGAGGGGGGUAGAAUUCCACGUGUAGCAGUGAAAUGCGUAGAGAUGUGGAGGAACACCGAUGGCGAAGGCAGCCCCCUGGGUCAAGAUUGACGCUCAUGCACGAAAGCGUGGGGAGCAAACAGG